UGAGUACGAGCUGCUACGGCAGCGAAGUGGGUGAUGUCAAGCUUCCAAGAAAAGCCCUAUACCCGUUAAGGCAUGACGGCCUGUACCCGAAACCGACACAGGUGGGGUGGUAGAGAAUACCGAGGGGCGCGAGAUAACUCUCUCUAAGGAACUCGGCAAAAUGGCCCCGUAACUUCGGGAGAAGGGGUGCCACCGCAAGGUGGUCGCAGUGAAGAGGCCCAGGCGACUGUUUACCAAAAACACAGGUCUCCGCUAAGUCGCAAGACGAUGUAUGGGGGCUGACGCCUGCCCAGUGCCGGAAGGUUAAGGAAGCUGGUCAGCGCAAGCGAAGCUAGCGACUGAAGCCCCGGUGAACGGCGGCCGUAACUAUAACGGUCCUAAGGUAGCGAAAUUCCUUGUCGGGUAAGUUCCGACCCGCACGAAAGGCGUAACGAUCUGGGCGCUGUCUCGGAGAGAGGCUCGGCGAAAUAGAAUUGUCUGUGAAGAUGCGGACUACGUGCACCCGGACAGAAAGACCCUAUGAAGCUUUACUGUAGCUUGGUAUUGUGCCCGGGCUCUGAAUGCGCAGGAUAGGUGGGAGGCUUUGAUCCAUUGCUUGUGGGUAAUGGUGAGCCACUGGUGAGAUACCACUCUUUCAGAGCUAGGGUUCUAACGGUCACCCGUUAUCCGGGGACCGGACAGUAUCAGGUGGGCAGUUUGACGAAAGUCGGCCUUAGUGAUCCGACGGUUCUGAGUGGAAGGGCCGUCGCUCAACGGAUAAAAGUUACUCUAAGGAUAACAGGCUGAUCUCCCCCAAGAGUUCACAUCGACGGGGAGGUUUGGCACCUCGAUGUCGGCUCAUCGCAACCUGGGGCUGAAGUCGGUCCCAAGGGUUGGGCUGUUCGCCCAUUAAAGCGGUACGCGAGCUGGGUUCAGAACGUCGUGAGACAGUUCGGUCCAUAUCCGGUGCACGCGCAGGAACAUUGAGAGGAUUUCUCCCUAGUACGAGAGGACCGGGAGGAACGCACCUCUGGUGUACCAGUUAUCGUGCCAACGGUAAACGCUGGGUAGCCAUGUGCGGAGCGGAUAACCGCUGAAAGCAUCUAAGUGGGAAGCCCACCUCAAGAUGAGUGUUCCCAUGGCAUAAGCCAGUAAGGUCACGGGAAGAACACCCGUUGAUAGGCUCUACGUGGAAGCGUGGCAACACGUGAAGCGGAGGAGUACUAAUAGACCGAGGGCUUGA
rnacentral:rRNA from 1 species